GACGAACGCUGGCGGCGUGCCUAAUACAUGCAAGUUGAGCGCUGAAGGUUGGUACUUGUACCAACUGGAUGAGCAGCGAACGGGUGAGUAACGCGUGGGGAAUCUGCCUUUGAGCGGGGGACAACAUUUGGAAACGAAUGCUAAUACCGCAUAAAAACUUUAAACACAAGUUUUAAGUUUGAAAGAUGCAAUUGCAUCACUCAAAGAUGAUCCCCGUUGUAUUAGCUAGUUGGUGAGGUAAAGGCUCACCAAGGCGAUGAUACAUAGCCGACCUGAGAGGGUGAUCGGCCACAUUGGGACUGAGACACGGCCCAAACUCCUACGGGAGGCAGCAGUAGGGAAUCUUCGGCAAUGGACGAAAGUCUGACCGAGCAACGCCGCGUGAGUGAAGAAGGUUUUCGGAUCGUAAAACUCUGUUGGUAGAGAAGAACGUUGGUGAGAGUGGAAAGCUCAUCAAGUGACGGUAACUACCCAGAAAGGGACGGCUAACUACGUG
rnacentral:rRNA from 1 species